rnacentral:misc_RNA from 1 species
GUGAAUCAUCGAAUCUUUGAACGCACCUUGCGCCCUCUGGUAUUCCGGAGGGCAUGCCUGUUUGAGUGUCAUGUAGACUCAAUCCCUCGGGUUUCCGAGGAGAUUGGACUUGGGUGUUGCCGCUCUGCCGGCUCGCCUUAAAAGACUUAGCGGGAUAGCACCGUAGUCGGCGUAAUAAGUUUCGUCGGUGAAGGUUGUGAUGACUGCUUACAAUCGCCCUUGGGCAAUUUUUGACUCUGACCUCAAAUCAGGUAGGACUACCCGCUGAACUUAAGCAUAUCAAUAAGCGGAGGA